rnacentral:rRNA from 1 species
GACGAACGCUGGUGGCGUGCUUAACACAUGCAAGUCGAACGGAAAGGCCCUGCUUUUGUGGGGUGCUCGAGUGGCGAACGGGUGAGUAACACGUGAGUAACCUGCCCUUGACUUUGGGAUAACUUCAGGAAACUGGGGCUAAUACCGGAUAGGAGCUCCUGCUGCAUGGUGGGGGUUGGAAAGUUUCGGCGGUUGGGGAUGGACUCGCGGCUUAUCAGCUUGUUGGUGGGGUAGUGGCUUACCAAGGCUUUGACGGGUAGCCGGCCUGAGAGGGUGACCGGCCACAUUGGGACUGAGAUACGGCCCAGACUCCUACGGGAGGCAGCAGUGGGGAAUAUUGCACAAUGGGCGGAAGCCUGAUGCAGCAACGCCGCGUGCGGGAUGACGGCCUUCGGGUUGUAAACCGCUUUCGCCUGUGACGAAGCGUGAGUGACGGCAAUGGGUAAAGAAGCACCGGCUAACUACGUG